rnacentral:rRNA from 1 species
GACGAACGCUGGCGGCGUGCUUAACACAUGCAAGUCGAACGGAAAGGCCCUGCUUUUGUGGGGUGCUCGAGUGGCGAACGGGUGAGUAACACGUGUGUAACCUGCCCUUGACUUUGGGAUAACUUCAGGAAACUGGGGCUAAUACCGGAUAGGAGCUCCUGCUGCAUGGUGGGGGUUGGAAAGUUUCGGCGGUUGGGGCUGGACUCGCGGCUUAUCAGCUUGUUGGUGGGGUAGUGGCUUACCAAGGCUGUGACGGGUAGCCGGCCUGAGAGGGUGACCAGCGACAAUGGGACUGAGAGACGGCCCAGACGCCUACGGGAGGCAGCAGUGGGGAAUAUUGCACAAUGGGCGGAAGCCUGAUGCAGCAACGCCGCGUGCGGGAUGACGGCCUUCGGGUUAUAAACCGCUGUCGAAUGUGACGAAGCGUGAGUGACGGUAAUGGGUAAAGAAGCACCGGCUAACUACGUG